AGAACUUAGCAGAGAUGCUUUGGUGCCUUCGGGGAACUCUGAGACAGGUGCUGCAUGGCUGUCGUCAGCUCGUGUUGUGAAAUGUUGGGUUAAGUCCCGCAACGAGCGCAGCCCUUAUCCUUUGUUGCCAGCGGUCCGGCCGGGAACUCAAAGGAGACUGCCAGUGAUAAACUGGAGGAAGGUGGGGAUGACGUCAAGUCAUCAUGGCCCUUACGAGUAGGGCUACACACGUGCUACAAUGGCGCAUACAAAGAGAAGCGACCUCGCGAGAGCAAGCGGACCUCAUAAAGUGCGUCGUAGUCCGGAUUGGAGUCUGCAACUCGACUCCAUGAAGUCGGAAUCGCUAGUAAUCGUAGAUCAGAAUGCUACGGUGAAUACGUUCCUGGGCCUUGUACACACCGCCCGUCACACCAUGGGAGUGGGUUGCAAAAGAAGUAGGUAGCUUAACCUUCGGGAGGGCGCUUACCACUUUGUGAUUCAUGACUGGGGUGAAGUCGUAACAAGGUAGGCGUACGUGU
rnacentral:rRNA from 1 species